rnacentral:rRNA from 1 species
AUUGAACGCUGGCGGCAUGCUUUACACAUGCAAGUCGAACGGCAGCGCGGGCUUCGGCCUGGCGGCGAGUGGCGAACGGGUGAGUAAUGCAUCGGAACGUGCCCAGUAGUGGGGGAUAGCCCGGCGAAAGCCGGAUUAAUACCGCAUACGACCUGAGGGUGAAAGCGGGGGACCGAAAGGCCUUGCGCUCUUGGAGCGGCCGAUGUCGGAUUAGCUAGUUGGUGGGGUAAAGGCUUACCAAGGCGACGAUCCGUAGCUGGUCUGAGAGGACGACCAGCCACACUGGAACUGAGACACGGCCCAGACUCCUACGGGAGGCAGCAGUGGGGAAUUUUGGACAAUGGGGGCAACCCUGAUCCAGCCAUGCCGCGUGCGGGAAGAAGGCCUUCGGGUUGUAAACCGCUUUUGUUCGGGAAGAAAUCCUCUGGGCUAAUACCCCGGGGGGAUGACGGUACCGGAAGAAUAAGCACCGGCUAACUACGUG